CUUUAUUAUAAAUAAUAAUAAACAUUUUGCGGCAGUUUGAACUUCCGAGUCAGCUUUCAUCUAAUGCGCAGUACGAUUCCAGUUUGAAAACAACUACGGCGUUUAAGCGGUUAGCCAAGCGUCUCUCCAUUGAUCAAUAAAACUGUUGUCUGCUACAAAUACAAAAAAAGAAUAAAAUGGACUUCCGAAGGAUGUGCAGUGAAUUUCAGGAUGAGGAAGACCCAGAUAAAAUUCCAUCUACUGGACGCCGAAUUCUGGCUGAAAUUUAGAUAAAAAAACGUUCCCGCCUUACCAACGCCAGAAACUGAGGGUGGAAAAGCUGUCACGGAAAAAUAAAGCUUUUCAUUGAAAAUCUCGUGCUACUGCCAUCUAACGAAGCUUUUGUGAAACCGAGAGAUUACCGAGUCAAGAUUCUAAUGGACAGCGACAAGUAAUGUCCCGGUGAGCCGGAUACUAUUGUGAACCGGAGGAAGAAUGCGUCUGGAGAAAAAGAGAAUCGGAGACGAGGAUGAGCACCUUGGGUUACUACCGGCAGAGAGGGAACAUAAGAUGAACCGGGUAAGGGUAAGAGUGGGAAACAUUCACCGAUCUUUACUAUAUAUAUUUUAUUUUGAAAACCAGUAGAAAGAAAACGAUUAAAAAAACCUCGAUCUGGAGAAAGUAGGCUGACCAUCACAUCCAAUCGCUUACCGAUACGAUCAUCUUCACAAAACCUCACCUUGAUCUUCCUUCUAUUGUCAAUCACCGUCUCUCGCUUAAUUGCAAUUACACUGUUGGUUUUUUUGGUUCUCACGGUGGUAUUAUUAAUUACUAUUACACCUAAUCGCAACUUGUUACGUAAAUACUUUAUUUUUUAAUCGACUUUGGUUUCUUUUCCGUGGACAAAAAAUUAAAAACCCACGUCGCAAUCAAGAAACUUAAAUAACAAUUAUUUUUAAGCAUUCAUUAGAUACAUUAUUUAGUAGU
rnacentral:lncRNA from 1 species